AUGAAAUCAAAGGUGCAGAAUUGUGCCAGUUCCAAUUAAAGGGCCAGAACAGUCUUUUAAAAACCAAUAAGUCCAAAUUGUGUUUUUAACUGGCAAAGUCUCCCAGGGACCAUAGUCACAUGGCAAGAGGCUGGCAAUUAGUCCUCUCCAGGCACAAGUGGCGAAGGGCGCUUCAUCACAGAAGGGCUCCUCCAUACUUCUCAGCAAAAACACAUCAUUUCAGGCACACUCCCAAGACAUUGACAGACAUAUGUCAAGGGAUCACUAUUUUAUGUGGGGACUUUAACCAUAUCUUUGACCCGGCAUUAGACUCCACCCUUUCCCCACGUAAAGCUAAAUUCGGACCCCUCAAGAGACAGUGCAGGGCGCUACAAAAACUCAUUUUUUUACACCAUUACUAUGACGCCUGGAGAGCCUCCCACUGAAUGGAAAAAUUCUACACCUACUUCUCCCAUGUACACAACUCAUAUUCCUGGCUAGAUACGUUCUUCGUUUCCGGUACACACCUUAACCAAAUAGAACGCUGUGAUAUUACCCAACUCACGUGGUCUGACCAUGCUCCGGUCAUAUUACAGGUCAAGGACUCAUAUGAUUUCAAACAUCGGAGUCCGUGGAGACUGAAUGACUCUGUUACAUAAUAAGGAGUUUGUAAACAAAAUAGAUGAAGCCCUUCGAAACUAUUUCAUAGAAAAUGAGACCCCUGAGGUAACACACACCACCUUAUGGCAGGCACACUGUCAGAAUAUUUAUAUCAACAGACAUUUUGUGCUAAAAAGAAAUUAAAAGUGUAUAUUGCCACAGCCACUCAGAACGAAGCGGACUCCAUUUUGCUAUCUUCAGGAUAACAAAAACACAUAAUUUCCUUGAUUUCUUAUUUUCUGUAACUAGCCACUUGCUUGAGCUGAGGAAUGUAUUACAUAAACAAACCAAGAUAAGCAAUGAAGCAAGGGGGAUGGAACGCUCUGUCUAAAAUGUUAAUGGAAUAGAUGCAUUAUCUAAACACAGACACUAGUGACAGAGAAGACUAAGUAAUUAAUUUUACUUUCUAAGUUUUAUAAGGUACCAUUGUAGUAAGGGGUGAAAUUGAGUUUAGAACUGUCAAUUUUACAAGUUACGAUCAAGUAGAUGCCACAAAGACUGAGACAAACGCUUUGAACUGACAGCAAAUCUAAGUUAUGGUAGUCAUUUUAGAUAAGCCAAAUGACGUCAAAAUCGUCAUAUGGAAAAGUUAACUCUUUCCUGGAUAGGAAGGUUUCAUUAGACGAGACUGCCAUCUAUGGAUAAAAUACAUAAAUUGCGACCCAUAGAUUGGACACACCUACGGCUUCCUAUUGGGUUAUCAACUAAUGACGUACAAAGAGUCUGGCCCUUUAAAAGUUAGGACAAAGGAAAGACAGGGGAGUUGGAGUUGAGAGACAGAGGGAGCGGGAGUUGAAAUUUGGGGGACUCCAACUCGGACAUGCAGAGAAAUCCAGGACAAUCUCUGGGACUAACACUCUACUCUUAAAACUCUAACACUUAGAAUUUUACUGACUUUCUAACCAACACCACCUUUCACUAUAACUCAUGCACCUACAUACAAC